AAUUCACCGGCUCCGAUUUUGAUCUCCUCUCGUCUAUAAAUAAACCGCGUUCUGCCACUCUCGAACUCAAUUGAGGAGCGCGAAUCCCUUCGUUGAAACGAAGAACGGGAUCAAAUUAGGGUUUUCGUGGUUUUGGUUAAAGAACCGGGGUAAUGCUUUCUGCUUUAUUGAAAUUAGGAUUUCCUCAAAUUACGGAUUCGGUUGAAAUGUUCGAUUCUUCUUCAAAGUUAGCUUCUUGUUUUAGAAUUAUAUAGCUUCGGUCAAGGAAAGCUUUAAACUUGCUUCACUCCAAGCCCUCUUCCGUUUAAUGGGGUUUGAUAAAAUUUUCGUUAUUAGUUGUUUUUUUUUGGAUUUUCUGCUAAGUUGAUUGUUGUUUUCGUUUUUGUUUCAAUUCUGUCAUCUGGGCCUUAAAUUUUUGAUUCAGAGGGUUUUAUCAAAUUUUUGUUUUUGUUUUGGAUAAAAUGGGAGCUGUUUAUAGGUUUAUGAUGAUCAUAUUUCGGCAAUUGUAGUAAUGGUUGAUGAUAAUACCACUUCCCCUUUAAUGUGUUUUUGGUAUGUUCUUGUUAUUAAUUGUGUUCUUGACUCAAAUUUUCCCUUGUUUUGCUUGUUAUCGAAGGCUAGGUUUCAAUUUUAUCUUUUGGGUAUCGAGUGUUUGAUUAAAGCUUUAAUACAUUGGGGGCUUAUGCUGAUUAUACUUGGGCAUUCAAUGUUAAAAUUUGUAUCUUUUCUGCAUGCCUUGUACAGUUAGAUUGAUUUUUUUAGUGAUUUGUUAAGGCGAGCAUUAUUAAUUUCAUUGCUCAUUAACUUGUUGCUUUUGGUUCAUCUCAUUCUCCAAGGUUCUGACUUUCCAUCCACGUUUUAGAUUCUUCAUGGCUUUUCUCAAUAAUUUUUGGUAGUUUAGGUUUUGAUUAUCUCGCUCGGGCAUUCAGCAAUGGGUGUCAUAGAUUGCGUAUGUAUAACUAUGUUGUUACUAUUUUUUGAGUAAAAUAAUUAUAUGUUGUUUUUUUUUCUCAAAAAUGAGAUAUCGCGGUCCUGAUAAUCAUAUCAGGAUAUUUAAUGUUGGAUUUUCUACUUCUGGAGGAUGGGGUUUAAAUUCAGGGCUUCAAGGGUCAAUUGGCUUUACAAUGAACUGGGUCUCUGUGCAAGUUUAAAACAGUUUUUCCUUUUAAAAAAAAUAUAAUUUGUAUGAUAUAAUUUCUUUCAGGGGUGUGAUCCUAAUUAAAAUUCUAAUUUUUUUCUUUCCUUAUUCCUUUUUUUUGAUAUGUUUUUGGCCAAAAAGCAUGCAUGUACUUGAUCACACUGACAUUCUCCAGGAUACAUCAGUCACAUUUUCCAAGCCAGACCCAGCUUUUCAUGGUGUCAACUUGAGAAAGUAAUAGAGAUAUUGUUAUUUUCUUAAAAGUAGAGUUAGUCCCUCAGGUAAAGUAUAACACUCAAUUGCAAUUGUCCGAAAAAGGACUUCAUUUUUAUGCUGGAUGUUGUAAUGUAAUGAAUUUCAGCGCUUGUUAAGUUAUCGUUCUCUUUGUUGUUUUCUACUUUGAACUAUUAGGAAGAGUUUGUGCAUCACCGAGGUGGUAUUUACAAUCGGCACAUCAAUUGUCUGCAUGUGCAGAUAAAUUGUAUGUAGUGAGCCAUGAAGAACUACAAUGCAGAACAUGAAGAAUAAGAAAGAUUCCUAAUUCUAGAAAUGUCAGCAUCAAGAGCCUACAUUGCUACUGGUGGGACCUAUUUGGCUCUUCGGUUUGCUUCUAACUAUUUCAAUUUUUUAAAUUUUCGAUAUGUAAUUAUGACCUAUUUCUAUCUUUUGCAUAUUAUGGAAAUAGCCUGUGUACCAAAAAAAGUUCUAUGCUUGUGCAACGACUAGAUGAAGACAACUACAAUGUAGAACAUAAAGAAAUAAGAAGAUCCGAAAUCGUUAGUUAUGGGAAUAUAUCGACAUUUCCUUUAUGAGGGGGUGAGCUAUUCACAUCGAUUAUUUCGUAAUUGCAAUACGAUGAUCAGGUUACUCUCGACGUCAAAUGCGUCAAGCAAAUGUUGGGAAAGCUUGGAUCAAUUGAUGAGGAUCUAACUUAAUGUAGAUCAUGAAGUAAAGAAAACAAUUGUUAGUUCUGGAAAUGUUAUCACCACAGCUUGCAUUGCUUAUGCUGGGGUUCUAAGGAGCACUUGCAGACCAAAAGAAUGAGAAUACUCCUCUCUUUUUCGAUGGUACCAAAAGCAGACAAGCAUCAGUGUGAUACGAACAGGGAUAGGUUGGUGGUUACAUCUCUUAAUAUAUUUUUACUAAUUAAAUGCAGGUACGGCUUGGCUGCCAAGUUGGAGGAUGGUUUGUUUGCCAAUAGAAACCUGUGAGGGAGCAACUCAAAAUUUUUUGGUUAUGUAAAGCUGAAUAGGGUGAAAUUAUUCAGGGAAUUUCAAAAUGCCUAGAAGACUUCUGGGCUGUGAUCUGGUGCAGUUCUUCUCGAGACUAUUGAAAUCCAAUCCGAUAUAAGCUCUUCCGGUCUUUGUCAAAAACACUUGAAACGACUUAUAAGUCUCGGUAUCCGGCUGAUGUUGAUGCUUAGCUUCUUGUAUGAUUGGCAAGGACUCGAACUCGAAAGGAGCUUUAACGUUAUGAGAGCACACAAAAUUCAUCGAUCAUCUGUGAUCUAUGUUUUUCUGCGUUCUCUUUGUGUUUGAUCAAAUACCUUCCAACCUUUCGUGGUCUCUCUUUAGUUCUAGCUGUUGUUUGUAGUUAUUUUUUGAUAUGUAUGGUGUCAAACGCUAGCUAGUUACGUAUGUAGUGCUAUCUUUCAUGUGGAACGCUGGAUGCGGGAUGUAAAGAUUACUCAAUAUGUUUUCAUUUC